GAUGAACGCUGGCGGCGUGCCUAACACAUGCAAGUCGAACGGAGAUUACGGACGGAAGUUUUCGGAUGGAAGCCGGUAAUUCUUAGUGGCGGACGGGUGAGUAACGCGUGGGCAACCUGCCCUAUACAGGGGGAUAGCAGCUGGAAACGGCUGGUAAGACCGCAUAAGUCGGUUAAAUCGCAUGAUUUGAUCGGGAAAUGAGCAAUCAGGUAUAGGAUGGGCCCGCGUCCGAUUAGCCAGUUGGCAGGGUAAAAGCCUACCAAAGCGACGAUCGGUAGCCGGGCUGAGAGGUCGGACGGCCACAUUGGGACUGAGACACGGCCCAAACUCCUACGGGAGGCAGCAGUGGGGGAUAUUGCACAAUGGAGGAAACUCUGAUGCAGCGACGCCGCGUGAGUGAAGAAGUAUUUCGGUAUGUAAAGCUCUAUCAGCAGGGAAGAUGAUGACGGUACCUGACUAAGAAGCCCCGGCUAACUACGUG
rnacentral:rRNA from 1 species